rnacentral:lncRNA from 1 species
UUGAAGAGAUUUAUCUUUUGAUCGAAGGCGUUAUGGUACUCAUCUAGAAUCCUUUGAAAGGUCAUUAUAUUUCGAGAAGAAGCCCAUCCUACCAGGAGACAGUCAUUUGCAAAAAGUAAGUAUGAGAUCAGUUAGGCCCCUAGGGCUGGCAUGUAAGGGUCCAACACCUAUCUUAUGGUCACAGCUCACAUAGCACAAGAAAGGG